rnacentral:rRNA from 1 species
UGUGACCUCAAAUCAGGUAGGACUACCCGCUGAACUUAAGCAUAUCAAUAAGCGGAGGAAAAGAAACUAACAAGGAUUCCCCUAGUAACUGCGAGUGAAGCGGGAAAAGCUCAAAUUUAAAAUCUGGCGGUCUUUUGGCUGUCCGAGUUGUAAUCUAGAGAAGUGUUAUCCGCGCUGGACCGUGUACAAGUCUCCUGGAAUGGAGCAUCAUAGAGGGUGAGAAUCCCGUCUUUGACAUGGACUGCCAGGGCUUUGUGAUGCGCUCUCAAAGAGUCGAGUUGUUUGGGAAUGCAGCUCAAAAUGGGUGGUAAAUUCCAUCUAAAGCUAAAUAUUGGCGAGAGACCGAUAGCGAACAAGUACCGUGAGGGAAAGAUGAAAAGAACUUUGGAAAGAGAGUUAAACAGUACGUGAAAUUGCUGAAAGGGAAACGCUUGAAGUCAGUCGCGUCAUCCAGGGAUCAACCUUGCUUUUGCUUGGUGCACUUUCUGGUUUGAUGGGUCAGCAUCAAUUUCGACUAUUGGAAAAAGGCUCUAGGGAAUGUGGCAUCUUUGGAUGUGUUAUAGCCCUUGGUCGUAUACAAUGGUUGGGAUUGAGGAACUCAGCACGCCGCAAGGCCGGG